GCACUUGUAGCUUAGUGGAUAGAGUGUCUAUUUCCUAAGUAGAAAGUCGUAGGUUCAACCCUUACUUGGUGCG
rfam:Ipomoea nil DNA, scaffold: scaffold3069, cultivar: Tokyo-kokei standard.